GGCUGGGCUGGGCUCGACGCGGCGCGGACGCUGGCGGCGCGCGUCACACCAACCGGCCGGCCCGGGACCGCAGCCGCCACCGCCACCUUCCCGACUUCUCCUGAGACGGGAAGGCGAGCUGGGGGGGGCGGGGGCAGGCAAGAGGAGGCCCGCCCCGGGCGGCGGGUGGCCAAGUGUCGACCUGCGCCCUCUGCUGGCCGGGAGGAGUCACUGCGGCCGCGCCGAGGCCUGGGUGGUCGGGGCUAUUGCAAAGUGUAGGGAAGACCCUGGCGGUGGUGGUCGUGGACGUCGUUGAACACUCGUGCGCGUAUGCGUAGUUUCAGUUUCUUGCACCAAAAUUAACAUUUCACUGGAGAGGAACUUGUUGACGCACCUGCUAAACCUCUCCACCCUCACCCCCCUGCACAAAAUUCUGCAAGGGCUCCCACUGUCUUUGGAAUAAUUCCGAAUUCCUCACGGUGCCUUCAGGAUCACCCAUAGUGCAGCCGGUUCUCCUUCCUUCUCUCCAUCUUCCUUUGCUCUGCCCAACACAGCAAGCCCCUUUCUGACUCUUCCCCCCCCCCCAAACCUGGUUCUGCCUAUAACAGGGUAACUCAAGCUUGCAGCUGUUAACAUUUUGGAGUGGAUUAUGGGCAGUGCCCUGUGCGUCGGAUUAUGGGCAGUGUUUCUGGCCUCUGCCCACCAGAUGCCAACAGCAUCUUCUCCAUGGUGGCAACCAAAAUUCCCCAGACGUUGCCAGAAGUGGAGGGAGGAGCGAGGAGGUAGAAGUCAACCGCGCUUGAGAAAGGAGCUGCGCAGGGAAGCCCAGAUCCACCCUGAUGGGGAACCUCCACUCAGUCCUGCUUAAGAGAGUGGGGAGUAGGUAUUUCCAAACUGCACGCCUGUGGGAAGACGUUCAAGUGAAGCCUGAGACGUUUUCUCCGGGUGCUUUCGACCUGCUGAGGGUGAGUCAGAGAAAACGUCCUGAACAAACCCUGCUGUUUGGAGAGGCCCCGUGGAUCGAGGGAGCAAGCGAGAGCCCAGAUCAUCCCAGGCCGCCCCACCCUCCACGCCUGUCGGCGAGUGCCAGAGAGGAGGCCUUUCCGUGUCAGCCCGAGAGCAAAGCAGGAUGUCCAAUAACAAAUAGCAUAGGAUGGCUUCCUCCCUCGGAGUAGCUGAGUCACUGCAGAGGGCUUCUCCAAAACCGAGACUUGAGGCGCUGUCUCUGAGCUAGCUGCAGCCGUCAGAGACCCACUGAGAGCCACAGACAGCCGCUGCCUGACACACCCGCUUGUGCCCUGGUGGUCCUCGCCAUCUGCAGUGUGCUCUGAGUCCUUUUUUUUUUUUUUAAGUUUAGUUUGUUUUUCUUUGAAAGGCACAGUGAUGGAAAGACAGAUUUUUUUAUGCACUAGCUCAUACCCUCAAAUGCCUGUAACAAGCAGGGCUGGACCAGAGGGUAGCCAGGAGUCUGGAACUCAAUCUAGAUCUUCCACGUGGGCGAUGGAGACUUGAGAGUGUGCGUCAUCCCUUGUGCCGCCCAGGGUGCACACGAGCUGGAGCAGAGCAGGGCCUGAAACCCAGACAUUCCAUUCCACACAGAAUGCGAGCGCCUUAACCACUUGGUCCCAGCAAUGCCUGCCCCCGAGUUCAGAGUUUUAGUAAAUCUUGGACUUCCCUACUGAAUACCACAAUUUGCCAUGUUUUAUUUGUGUACGUGUGCU
rnacentral:lncRNA from 1 species